AGAAGAUGAAGGGAAGAACUUGUAUGUGGGCUCCCACCUAGGGAUGUCUUUGUGAGCAAGAAAGAAGGUGGGGAGGACAGAACAGCAGGAAGGUCCAUCCGUCCCAGAGGCCUUCUCAUCAACUGCUGAGGCUUCACAGUGGCCACCAGCUCUGGCUUUACCUUUUAGACGCAUCACUCAGAUCCCUGGUCUCAACUCCCCCACCACUAGUGCUAAUCAGAGGAGACAACUAUGGAAUAAGCAUCUAACAUUCAUUGGCACCUCCCUGGCUCCCUCAGGCUCUUCGCUCCUGAUCUGAAUGGCCCGGGGAAUCAAUCUCAGGGGUAGAGUCCAGGGGCCUGAAGACAAAGAAUGUUUCCUACCUCCCGACGAAGAUGUGAUGAGCUAAAUACAGAAAAUGGAACACACUUUUAGA